GCCAUCAGUUUAAGAACAAUAAAAUAAAAUAAACAAUUUACUUAGCAAAUGGUGAUAAUGUUUGUUAAUGAAAGAGAGUACGGGACAAAAGAACAUUUAAACCUUAAACUAGCAGCGCACGUCACUUUCUGAGUGAAGUGCGCGACGUGCGCGUGCCCGUCAUUUUGUAACGGUCAACUUCCAGCGGACGGACACGGAGGAAAGGGCCUGACAACCACCAGUUGAGUCCAUGAUUCAGGGAAGAGACAGUCUGGGCAGCAGCAACAAGACAACUAUUACAAGUAGAGAUGGGUUUCAAGAACUGGUACUAAUUUGGUUCCUGACUUGUUCAGUACUGAAAACAUUUACAUAAGGUACAGGAUCAAUAGUGCUGCUAUCAGUAUUCUUGUAACAUUGAUUCAUUACCCUUUAGACACAACCACAUAUCCUCCAAAUCAUCUCUGCGUGGAUGGCAGCAAGGAUCCAGGAUCAAGAGAUCAUUCUUCAUGGAGACUGUUCCACAGGAAUCAGUUUCUCCUGGGUGAAAAACUAAACCUGGUUGUUUCAGCAUCACUCAGGCAAGACUAAAUACUUUUAAAUUGAUUUCAGUUGGUUAUGUGUUUCAGGUCAUCCUGGCCAUUCUGCUGUCCUGGAUGUAAGUCCGUGCUGGAACUACAUUUCUCGUUGUUGAAAGAUUUGUGCAGCGGUAUCCAGACACAUAACGCCCCAUCACACGGGGCGUCAACGCCUCUCGUUUACUUUUAAAUGAAGUGACGUCAAGGAUGGUGAAAUUAAUUCUAGAAAUUAAUUCUAAAUAGAAGUUGAAGACUUUUCAAGCGACAAUGCAGCCGUCCUCCAGUCAGAACAUCUUAUGCAAAUACCCAAGCGCAGACGCAAGCCAAUCAAGUGCAUGCAAUACCAGAAAACUAAUGUGAUUGGCUGUCACUAUGAGAAGAGACAGUAAUUCUGAUCCGAUAUCAGUGUCGUUUUUUGCAAAAAAAUGUUUAAAUCAAUGUAGAAUUUUCUAUACUUCUGUGUAGGGAUGUCAAUUUUCAAUCAUUUCCAUGAUCGAUCGUCGUUUAAAUUAACAAUCAAAUAAUCGAUUAAUCGUUAACCUUAAUGCUGCAAAGUCUAUUGCAGUAACACCCAGUCAC